rnacentral:snoRNA from 1 species
UUCCAUGAUGAUCCGACAACACAAAGACAAGCAUAUGUCAGAGCUUUUGCGACGAUGACACCUGUCAUGUCUGAUC